GAUGAACGCUGGCGGCGUGCCUAAUACAUGCAAGUCGAGCGAGCAGACGAGGAGCUUGCUCCUCUGACGUUAUCAGCGGACGGGUGAGUAACACGUGGAUAACCUACCUAUAAGACUGGGAUAACUUCGGGAAACCGGAGCUAAUACCGGAUAAUAUAUUGAACCUCAUGGUUCAAUAGUUGAAUACGGUUUUUCUGUCAGUUAUAGAUGGAUACGCGCCGCAUUAGCUAGUUGGUAAGGUAACGGCUUACCAAGGCAACGACGGGUAGCCGACCCGAGAGGGAGAUUGGCUAGACUGGAACGGAGGCACGUUCGCCACACUGGCGGGAGGCCGCAGCAGGGACUCCUACGCGAGGGAGGAAUGGCGGACGUAGCACAGUGGCGUGAGUCAUGAAGGUGCUCGGCUCGGAAAACUAUGUAAGUAGGGAAGAAGUAAAGCUUAAGUACCCAUGAACAUAUUGACGGUACCUAAAGAGAAAGCCACGGCUAACUCCGUG
rnacentral:rRNA from 1 species